rnacentral:rRNA from 1 species
UACGUAGGCAGCAAGCGUUGUUCGAGUUCCUGGGCGUAAAGGGUGCGUAGGCGGCUUCUUAAGUCUGGUGGGAAAUCUCCCGGCUCAACUGGGAGGGUGCGCCGGAUACUGAGGGGCUAGAGUGUGGGAGAGGAAAGUGGAAUUCCUGGUGUAGCGGUGAAAUGCGUAGAUAUCAGGAGGAACACCGGUGGUGUAAACGGCUUUCUGGACCAUAACUGACGCUGAGGCACGAAAGCGUGGGUAGCAAACAGG